rnacentral:rRNA from 1 species
AUGUUACGAUGUAUAUGUUAUGAUCAGAAGCACACACAUUGUUUGAUCUGCUAUGUGCAAAUUUAUUUGUUAUUUGUAUCCUGGAAUGAGCGGAAUGCUCGCGUGGGGAACCUUGCCAUGUUGAUCUCUUGGCACAUUUGGAAUGAGCGGAAUGCUUGCGUCUUCCGCCAUGUCGAGACCCACCCAGAGACCAUUCUAUCAACACUCAAGGACGGGUCACGUUUAUGGCAGAAGGCUGGCGCCAAGCAUUUGAGCUUCAUGAUACUGGGAGAGUAA